UGGAUGAUGUGGAUUAAUUCGAUGCAACGCGAAGAACCUUACCUACCCUUGACAUGUCCGGAACUUGCCAGAGAUGGCUUGGUGCCCGAAAGGGAAUCGGAACACAGGUGCUGCAUGGCUGUCGUCAGCUCGUGUCGUGAGAUGUUGGGUUAAGUCCCGCAACGAGCGCAACCCUUAUCAUUAGUUGCUACGCAAGGGCACUCUAAUGAGACUGCCGGUGACAAACCGGAGGAAGUGGGGAUGACGUCAAGUCCUCAUGGCCCUUAUGGGUAGGGCUUCACACGUCAUACAAUGGUCGGUACAGAGGGUUGCCAACCCGCGAGGGGGAGCUAAUCCCACAAAGCCGAUCGUAGUCCGGAUCGCAGUCUGCAACUCGACUGCGUGAAGUCGGAAUCGCUAGUAAUCGUGGAUCAGCAUGUCACGGUGAAUACGUUCCCGGGUCUU
rnacentral:rRNA from 1 species